UCUCAAUUUAAAUAGUACCUUAAUUCAUUCCUAAGUUUAAUUCACAUCAAAACAUUUAAAACAUUAAUCGAUUAUCAUCCACACAUACACAUUAAUUAUGUGGAGCGCAUAUAAUAACUUAACAAGCCAUUUUCGCAUGGCUAUACAUAUAUACAUCACCAAAAAGAUACGUAAUUAACAUCAAAAGUCAAUCCUAUACAUGCCAUUAUCAAGGUUCAUUUACAAGAGUACCGAAAGGUUUAGAUAGUGUGGAUGACUUUGACUUUGGAUCUCCCGAGUCCGAUAGUUCACGAACAAAAUCUAUAAAACAGGGAAUGAAGGCAAAAAGAGUAAGCAUUUCGAUGCUUAGUAAGUCUUAAGUAAUGAAAUCAUUUAUAACUAAAGCAUAGCAUUCAUAAGGCUCAUCAUCUUUUUGACUAAAUGUAGUCAUGAUUAAAUAUACCCCUAUCGUUCAUACAUGUCAUCUUAAAUUUUUC
rnacentral:lncRNA from 1 species